rnacentral:rRNA from 1 species
CAAUAGCGUAUAUUAAAGUUGUUGCAGUUAAAAAGCUCGUAGUCGUAUUUCUAAAUUGAGCAUAUUGUCCGGGCGUAUUGCGUCUGUGUACAUUGUUGUCUCGAUUUAUCCUUGUGGAGAGCUGAUUUGGCCUUAAUCGGUUGAGUUAGGGAUCUGCAUCAUUUACUGUGAAAAAAUUAGAGUGUUUAAAGCAGGCAUUUGCUGUGAAUACAUUAGCAUGGAAUAAUAAGAUAGGACUUUGGUACUAUUUUGUUGGUUUGCAUACCAAGGUAAUGAUGAAUAGGGACAGUUGGGGGUAUUCAUAUUUAGUUGUCAGAGGUGAAAUUCUUGGAUUUACGAAAGAUGAACUUAUGCGAAAGCAUUUACCAAGGAUGUUUUCAUUGA